GUGCCAGCCGCCGCGGUAAUACCGGCAGCCCAAGUGAUGGCCGCUGUUAUUGGGCCUAAAGCGUUCGUAGCUGGCCGCACAAGUCCAUCGGGAAAUCCACCUGCUCAACAGGUGGGCGCCCGGUGGAAACUGUGCGGCUUGGGACCGGAAGGCGCGACGGGUACGUCCGGGGUAGGAGUGAAAUCCCGUAAUCCUGGACGGACCGCCGAUGGCGAAAGCACGUCGCGAGAACGGAUCCGACAGUGAGGGACGAAAGCCAGGGUCUCCAACCGGAUUAGAAACCCCAGUAGUCC
rnacentral:rRNA from 1 species